rnacentral:tRNA from 1 species
GGAUAAGUGGUCGAGUGGUUUAAGGCGUUAGUUUUGAAAACUAUUGUAUUGUAGAAUACCGUGGGUUCGAAUCCUACCUUAUCUU